GAUGAACGCUGGCGGCGUGCUUAACACAUGCAAGUCGAACGGAAAGGCCGAAGCUUGCUUCGGUACUCGAGUGGCGAACGGGUGAGUAACACGUGGGUGAUCUGCCCUGUACUUCGGGAUAAGCUUGGGAAACUGGGUCUAAUACCGGAUAUGACGAUCUCUUGGAUGGGGUUGUGGAAAGCUUUUGCGGUAUGGGAUGAGCUCGCGGCCUAUCAGCUUGUUGGUGGGGCAAUGGCCUACCAAGGCGUCGACGGGUAGCCGGCCUGAGAGGGUGUACGGCCACAUUGGGACUGAGAUACGGCCCAGACUCCUACGGGAGGCGGCAGUGGGGAAUAUUGCACAAUGGGCGCAAGCCUGAUGCAGCGACGCCGCGUGGGGGAUGACGGCCUUCGGGUUGUAAACUCCUUUCGCAAUCGACGAAGCCUUUUGGUGACGGUAGGUUGAGAAGAAGCACCGGCUAACUACGUG
rnacentral:rRNA from 1 species